GCCAAGUGUAGUGGUGCAUACUUGUAAUUCUAGCUACUUGGAAGGCUGAGACAGGAUGAUCCCAGGUUCCAAGGUCAGCCUGGGCAACUUGGGAAAACCCUGUCCA
rnacentral:sRNA from 1 species